rnacentral:rRNA from 1 species
AGCGAACGCUGGCGGCAGGCUUAACACAUGCAAGUCGAGCGCCCGGAGCAAUCCGGGAGCGGCAGACGGGAGAGUAACACGUGGGAACGUACCCUUUGGUUCGGAAUAAUCCAGGGAAACUUGGACUAAUACCGGAUAAGCCCUUACGGGGAAAGGAUUUAUCGCCAGAGGAUCGGCCCGCGUCUGAUUAGCUUGUUGGUGAGGUAACGGCUCACCAAGGCGACGAUCAGUAGCUGGUCUGAGAGGAUGAUCAGCCUCACUGGGAC